GAUGAACGCUGGCGGCGUGCCUAAUACAUGCAAGUCGAACGAAAUUAUUUUAAUAGAAGAUUACUUGUAAUUGGAAGUUAAAUUAAUUUAGUGGCGAACGGGUGAGUAAUACAUAAGUAAUCUGCCCUUAAGGACCGGGAUAACUGUUGGAAACGAUGGCUAAUACCGGAUAAGUAAUUGGAAGGCAUCUUCUAAUUAUUAAAGUUUAAAUACACACAAGGAUGAGCUUAUGGUGCAUUAGCUAGUUGGUGGGUAACGGCCGUACCAAGGCUGUGAUGCAUAGCCGACCUGAGAGGGUGAUCGGCCACACUGGGACUGAGACACGGCCCAGACUCCUACGGGAGGCAGCAGUAGGGAA
rnacentral:rRNA from 1 species